rnacentral:rRNA from 1 species
GUCCACGCCCUAACGAUGUCAACUGGUUGUUGGACGGCUUGCUGUUCAGUAACGAAGCUAACGCGUGAAGUUGACCGCCUGGGGAGUACGGCCGCAAGGUUGAAACUCAAAGGAAUUGACGGGACCCGCACAAGCGGUGGAUGAUGUGGUUUAAUUCGAUGCAACGCGAAACCUUACCUACCCUUGACAUGUCAAGAAUCUUGCAGAGAUGUGAGAGUGCUCGAAAGAGAACUUGAACACAGGUGCUGCAUGGCCGUCGU